CCCGCCUCCUGCUGAUGGAGACCCCUUGCUUAGCAAGUUAGCCAGUAGCAGAAAAAUGGCAGGAGAGGAGAGGAUGCGUGAUGAGCGGAACCCUCUACGUCACUGUUUCAGCACCGUGGACAGCAUGACGCCUGGACAGUUGUCUGUGUUGGCAGCCCCUGCAGCUCCACAAUCAUCCACAGAGGGGCAGUGCAGCAGUUUGCAGCUGCCAUGGACCAGGAGAGAGAAAAUGAAAUAAAAGUGGGGAUAAAUCAGGAAAACCAGCACACAUGAAGAAGAGCUUCCUAAUGAUGGAGCCACAGUAAUGGACCUAACUAAUGACCGGACUUAAGAAAGAACAUAUUCUAAUAGCUGGAGCAGAACUGGAGGGAAAGUCAAGGUGUCUGGGAGGAGAAGGAAUUACAUCUGUGGACAGCUGGAGGAGCCUAAUUGACAGAGGUCAGGCUGUAAAUACAAAAGAUUACAGGCUAUGCUUAAUGCUCUAACCUUGUUAGUUAAAUAUUUUGCUUCUGUUUUAAAUGUGAUUAAGUUAAGAUACGAUUAAUUAAAAAAAUUAGAGUAUUUAUGCAUAGAAAUUAAAUUAACACAGAGAAAAAGCACAUUCAAGCGACACUGCUUUACACGGCUGCCAGCGGUGAGAAAUAAUGAAAACAUACAGGGCUCGUGAUCAAGUGGAAUCAAGCUUUUAUCAGAGUUGUGCUGCAAACCUCUCAGCCAAUAAACUGUCAAAACAGAUUUCAAAGAAGAUUUAUUUUGCUGUUGUCCCUAAACCCUUGUAUUUCCAAAAUGUCCGUUUUCAGAAAGAGGGGAAAACGGUUUUAAUUUCAAAUUGAUCACCACAUUUUUACAUGGAUUUUAAAGGGGGUAGAAAUGUGUUAAUCCACAAAUCAUUUUAUUAAGAAAUAAAUUAUCUUAAUUGGAUUUUUUGGCACAAUAUAUAUUGGCAGGUCCACCUCCUUUGAGUUUUAGUGGAUGAUAUGUGAUAACUUAUACACUGUAGGCAUCCAUAAUUUGUACAUGCAUGUUUACUGUUGUGAUUGUAAGCCACCAGCAGCUCCACUAGCCUUCUCUCUUUGGGACUUGCAGUGACUCUAUGUGUGAUGUUUAGGGCCGCCACCUUUUAGUCAAUUAGGCAACUAAUCAGACGUUAAAGCCUCUUAGUCAAUCAAGGGAAUUUUAGCUGAGUGGUCAAUAUUUAUGGUCUCUUUGUGGAGAGCAAGCUGUUCAUUAAAUCAUCACAACAUGGCACAGUUUUAUUAAGCACUUAGUUUUAAGAGGCAUUUUUUUUUAACAUUCACCUGCAGAGGGGUAAUAAUACUGAGGACACAAUUUGACUGUUUUUUAAUGAAACAUUUCCAGCUGAUGGAUUGAAGAAAGCAGAACAACCAGAACCAUCCUGGUUCUGUUGAGAGCCUAAGUGCAGUCGUGUGUUUCUGAUGUGUAGGGUAGUAGUGAAGUUAAAGUUGAGGCUUUUGGAGGCGUUAUUGGCUUAACAGCAAACAAACCACCUAAUUCUCCUCCAAAAACCUCAGUACCAAUGAGGCCAGUAUAACAUAGUUUGGAAAGUGACUCAGUGUAUUCAUGAAUGUACUUUUCCUCUGGGAUAUUGAACUCACUAAACUUGUUGAAACAUUCCACCUUUACGUUUAAUUUUGACUAGCAUGAUAUGCUGAACUUAAUGUUGAUGAACCACGUAACCUGAGGCCGUUCACACAGUCUGUGUCUGUUAAUUACAGACGAUCCCAGCAUCCUAAGAAUAGACGACCUGAGCAUGAGGUCAACUUUUGACAGCAGAAGUAAUGAGACAUUUUUAAAGCUGUUGAGACAAAACACCAUUGUCUUAAUGGCACCUAUUGUCACUUUCAUUGCUGUUUUAAUAACCCCCCACCAAACUACCACCAACCACACACACACACACACACACACACACACACACGCACGCACGCACGUACGCACGUACUCCCUCUCGCCGCCACCACACCACCCUCUCCGUGACACACGCCUCUUCUUCCUCAUUAAGGAAAUCGCUCUUCUUUGCUGAUUAUUUUAUUUGAAGCCGUGAUUACCGCUCUGUGCACCAGAUCACGCAGUAACGGAGACCAGGCGGAGGGCAGCGGGCCUAAUUGGGGCAUGAGAUGCGCGGGGUGUUGCAGCCAGGCUGGGUGGCCGAAGAGGGAAGCCUCUAAUGGGUUUGCCUGUCUGCGGCUCUCCACCCUCGCGUCUCUCUGCAUCUCGGAUGCAACGUACCUAUUGGUCCGCUCCUUAUUCCUCCGACUGUCAUCAAACCACCUGCACAAAACUACAGUGUGAUUUGUUAGAGAGUCGUUUCUGCAGAUGGAAAAUCGAUUUUCCUUUUAGAUUUCUAUAACUGAGUGAAUGCAGAUGCCUACGAGGCGAAGCAAUAGGCCUGAACAUAAGAAACAACCAGUUCGCCUACUGGUCCAUGUUACAAUUUGGUUGUGGUGUAAAGGAUCUCAUCCCUGCGUCUGCCUUGUGUUACUUGUAUUAUUCUAACCUGUUCUGCAAAGGCCCAUAUGAGCAAUGGAUUUAACGCAGUUUGAUUGCUAAAAAAGCGCGGAGAGGGUGGACACGGAAUUCUUGAUCUUUGAAAUUGCUCUACAAAAUUGCAUUUGUUUUUGGUGCGCUUCCAUUAAAAGUGUCUCCUCGCGUGUAAACAGCCGUUCCGCACUCAGAUGCGCCGCAUUAACCCGGGAGGAUUGUAUGUGAGUGUGUUUUUACUGGGGAAGAUUGAUGUGGUCCAGUUAGGGAGGCUGAGUGAGACAUAGACCCAUUUCAAGUGGGUUCCUCUUAUUACAGCAAUAAGUUACAGGCUGAGGAUCGGACAGCUGAGGGGAUAUCUGCUAUCCGGGCUGUUUUCGCUGCAACGCAUCACGACAUCAAUAUUUAUCAGGCAGUGGGCUAAAAUAACUACAACCUUUUGAUUUUGACACGUGGCUUAACUUAUGUAAACAGGACGUCCAUAUGAAUAAUUCUGAAUGAAGCUUUCUGUUUUAAA